rnacentral:rRNA from 1 species
UACAGAGGUCUCAAGCGUUGUUCGGAUUCAUUGGGCGUAAAGGGUGCGUAGGCGGCCAACUAAGUCAUACGUGAAAUCCCUCGGCUUAACCGGGGAACUGCGUCUGAUACUGGAUGGCUUGAGAUUGGGAGAGGGAUGCGGAAUUCCAGGUGUAGCGGUGAAAUGCGUAGAUAUCUGGAGGAACACCGGUGGCGAAGGCGGCAUCCUGGACCAACACUGACGCUGAGGAGCGAAAGCGUGGGGAGCAAACAGG